rnacentral:rRNA from 1 species
UACGGAGGGGGCUAGCGUUGUUCGGAAUUACUGGGCGUAAAGCGCACGUAGGCGGUUUUGUAAGUUAGAGGUGAAAGCCCGGAGCUCAACUUCGGAAUUGCCUUUAAGACUGCAUCGCUUGAAUGUAGGAGAGGUGAGUGGAAUUCCGAGUGUAGAGGUGAAAUUCGUAGAUAUUCGGAAGAACACCAGUGGCGAAGGCGGCUCACUGGACUGCUGUUGACGCUGAGGUGCGAAAGCGUGGGGAGCAAACAGG